GUAUUUCGCUAGGGGUCCUGGAACGGCGGCGUUCCGGGUGAGAAAUACCCUCUGAACCUGAUCUGGAUAAUGCCAGCGCAGGGAAGCACAACAAGUCCUUG
rnacentral:ncRNA from 2 species